rnacentral:rRNA from 1 species
GACGAACGUUGGCGGCGUGCUUAAUACAUGCAAGUCAACUGAAGCAGUGGUAGCAAUAUCGCUGUGGAGGUGGCGCACGGGUGAGUAACACGUAGGUCAUCUGCCUUCAGGUCUGGCAUAACUCCGGGAAACCGGGGCUAAUAGCAGAUGAUGCAGCGGCUCGACAUCGAGACAGUUGUUAAAGCUAUGGCGCCUGAAGAUGAGCCUGCGUCUGAUUAGCUAGUUGGCGGGGUAACGGCCCACCAAGGCAACGACCAGUAGCUGGUCUGAGAGGAUGAUCAGCCACACUGGAACUGAGACACGGUCCAGACUCCUACGGGAGGCAGCAGUAAGGAAUAUUGCUCAAUGGGAGAAAUCCUGAAGCAGCAACGCCGCGUGAGGGACGAAGGGCUUUGGCUUGUAAACCUCUGUAGUGAGAGAAAAAAAUCCCAAUCUUUGGGACAUGAUGGUAUCUCAAAAGUAAGCCCCGGCUAACUACGUG